rnacentral:rRNA from 1 species
AGGACUAACGCUGGCGGCGUGCCUAACACAUGCAAGUCGAACGGAAACAUGUCUGUAGCAAUACAGAUGAUGUCGAGUGGCGAACGGGUGAGUAAUACAUAAAUAAUCUCCCUUUGACGGGGAUAACCUUGGGAAACCAGGGCUAAUACCAGAUAAGCUUCAGUGGAAAUAUUUCUAUUGAAGGAAACGAGCAAUCGGCAGAAGGAUGAGUUUGUGUCUGAUUAGUUAGUUGGUGAGGUAAUGGCUCACCAAGACGAUGAUCAGUAGCUGGUCUGAGAGGAUGGUCAGCCACACUGGAACUGAGACACGGUCCAGACUCCUACGGGAGGCAGCAGUGAGGAAUUUUGCUCAAUGGGCGAAAGCCUGAAGCAGCGAACCGCCGCGUGAACGAUGAAGUCCUUCGGGAUGUAAAGUUCUGUCAGCAGGGACAAUAAUGAUGGUACCUGCAGAGGAAGGCCCGGCAAACUAUGUGCCAGCAGCGGC